GGUAUACCAUUCACACCUAUAAAUACCAUCCACAUAUUCAAACAAAAACAUCAGUGAACAAAGCUUUACAUCGAAGAAUAGCAAGGGAGCAACAAAGGGGGGUUUGUUGAACUUUGAAGAUAUUUCCAAUGGAGGCUAAAGGGGUGAAGUUUGAGUUAGUGUUGAUUGUCUUGGCAAUGGCAAUGGGGGUGCUAGUUUUGAGUCCUAGUCUUGCGGAAGGUGCAUUCGGGAUCCAGCUCAAUCCAUGCACUCUCGAUCAAUGUAUUGCUGCAUGUAAAAAGAUUUUGCAUGAGAAAUUCCUUAGUGCAACUUGUGCUUCAGGCCCUCAAGGGAAAUACUGCAUCUGCUUAGGUUGAUAUAACUUGCUUAAUAUGCUUACUUAAAUUUACCAAUUAGAUAUGUAUCUUAUGAUAAAAAAGAAAAGAUAUAAAUAAAAAGUUUAUAUUGGGUA